UACGUAGGGUGCAAGCGUUAAUCGGAAUUACUGGGCGUAAAGCGUGCGCAGGCGGUUCUAUAAGACAGAUGUGAAAUCCCCGGGCUCAACCUGGGAACUGCCUUUGUGACUGCAUAGCUAGAGUACGGUAGAGGGGGAUGGAAUUCCGCGUGUAGCAGUGAAAUGCGUAGAUAUGCGGAGGAACACCGAUGGCGAAGGCAAUCCCCUGGACCUGUACUGACGCUCAUGCACGAAAGCGUGGGGAGCAAACAGG
rnacentral:rRNA from 1 species